GAGACUUAAAACACCUUGGAUUCUUAUAGCUACCAGAAGCAUCCUUUCCAAUAUUUUAAACUGGCUUUAUCUCUGGAACCACAAGUGAGUGGUGAGUGCUUAAAGCUCUGUGACCUACAUAGUACCCAUUAUUCUGAUCCUUGCCUUAUAUAACUGGAACCAAGGAGCUUGAAGAUAAUACAAGGGAAAAGGACAUCAAAGAUGCUAAAAGGUGCAGUGGGGGUAAUGGUGAGAAAAAUGAGAAAACACAAAGACAAUGAAAAUAUCAGGAUCUCAAUG